rnacentral:rRNA from 1 species
CCCUAGUAACUGCGAGUGAAGCGGGAAAAGCUCAAAUUUAAAAUCUGGCGGUCUUUGGCUGUCCGAGUUGUAAUCUAGAGAAGUGUUAUCCGCGCUGGACCGUGUACAAGUCUCCUGGAAUGGAGCGUCAUAGAGGGUGAGAAUCCCGUCUUUGACACGGACUGCCAGGGCUUUGUGAUGCGCUCUCAAAGAGUCGAGUUGUUUGGGAAUGCAGCUCAAAAUGGGUGGUAAAUUCCAUCUAAAGCUAAAUAUUGGCGAGAGACCGAUAGCGAACAAGUACCGUGAGGGAAAGAUGAAAAGAACUUUGGAAAGAGAGUUAAACAGUACGUGAAAUUGCUGAAAGGGAAACGCUUGAAGUCAGUCGCGUUGGCCAGGRAUCAACCUUGCUUUUGCUGGGCGUACUUCCUGGUUAAUGGGUCAGCAUCAAUUUUGACCGUUGGAUAAAGGUUAGGGGAAUGUGGCAUCUUCGGAUGUGUUAUAGCCCUUGGUCGCAUACAACGGUUGGGAUUGAGGAACUCAGCACGCCGCAAGGCCGGGUAUUUAUACCACGUUCGUGCUUAGGAUGCUGGCAUAAUGGCUUUAAUCGACCCGUCYUGAAACACGGACCAAGGAGUCUAACAUGCCUGCGAGUGUUUGGGUGGAAAACCCGAGCGCGUAAUGMAAGUGAAAGUUGAGAUCCCUGUCGUGGGGAGCAUCGASGCCCGGACCAGACCUUUUGKGACGGVUCCGCGGUAGAGCAUGUAUGUUGGGACCC